GUCCCUAUCGUCUAGAGGCCUAGGACACCGCCCUUUCACGGCGGCGACCGGGGUUCGAAUCCCCGUAGGGACGCCA
rnacentral:tRNA from 7 species